CUGGCGGCGUGCUUCAUGCAUGCAAGUCGAACGAGAACCCCACGAUGGGUAACCAUUGCGGGACUUCUAGUGGCGAACGGGUGCGUAACACGUGAGGAACCUGCCCCGGAGACCGGGAUAGCCCAGGGAAACUUGGAUUAAUACCGGAUACCCUCGGAUGACCGCAUGGUCGACCGAGGAAACAGUCCGCUGCUCCGGGAUGGCCUCGCGCCCUAUCAGCUAGUUGGUGAGGUAACGGCUCACCAAGGCAACGACGGGUAGCUGGUCUGAGAGGACGAUCAGCCACACUGGGACUGAGACACGGCCCAGACUCCUACGGGAGGCAGCAGCAGGGAAUAUUGCACAAUGGGCGGAAGCCUGAUGCAGCGACGCCGCGCGAGGGAUGAAGGCCUUCGGGUUGUAAACCUCUUUCAGGAGGGAAGAAGCGAAAGUGACGGUACCUCCAGAAGAAGCCCCGGCCAACUACGUG
rnacentral:rRNA from 1 species